rnacentral:rRNA from 1 species
CCUACGGGAGGCAGCAGUGAGGAAUAUUGGUCAAUGUACGAGAGUCUGAACCAGCCAAGUAGCGUGAAGGAUGACUGCCCUAUGGGUUGUAAACUUCUUUUAUAUGGGAAUAAAACGUUCCACGUGUGGGAUUUUGUAUGUACCAUAUGAAUAAGGAUCGGCUAACUCCGUGCCAGCAGCCGCGGUAAUACGGAGGAUCCGAGCGUUAUCCGGAUUUAUUGGGUUUAAAGGGAGCGUAGGUGGAUUGUUAAGUCAGUUGUGAAAGUUUGCGGCUCAACCGUAAAAUUGCAGUUGAAACUGGCAGUCUUGAGUACAGUAGAGGUGGGCGGAAUUCGUGGUGUAGCGGUGAAAUGCUUAGAUAUCACGAAGAACUCCGAUUGCGAAGGCAGUUCACUGGACUGCAACUGACACUGAGGCUCGAAAGUGUGGGUAUCAAACAGGAUUAGAUACCCUUGUAGUC